AGAGUUUGCUCCUGGCUCAGGAUGAACGGUGGCGGUCUGCUUAACACAUGCAAGUCGAACCGGCUCUUCGGAGCUAGUGGCGGACGGGUGAGUAACACGUGAGAAUCUGGCUCCCGGUCGGGGACAACAGAGGGAAACUUCUGCUAUUCCCGGAUGAGCCGAAAGGUAAAAGAUUUAUCGUCGGGAGAUGAGCUCGCGUCUGAUUAGCUAGUUGGUGAGGUAAAGGCUCACCAAGGCGACGAUCAGUAGCUGGUCUGAGAGGAUGAUCAGCCACACUGGGACUGAGACACGGCCCAGACUCCUUCGGGAGGCAGCAGUGGGGAAUUUUCCGCAAUGGGCGCAAGCCUGACGGAGCAAGACCGCGUGGGGGAGGAAGGCUCUUGGGUUGUAAACCCCUUUUCUCAAGGAAGAACACAAUGACGGUACUUGAGGAAUAAGCCUCGGCUAACUCCGUGCCAGCAGCCGCGGUAAUACGGAGGAGGCAAGCGUUAUCCGGAAUGAUUGGGCGUAAAGCGUCCGUAGGUGGCUGUUCAAGUCUGCUGUCAAAGACAGUGGCUUAACUACUGAAAGGCAGUGGAAACUGAACACCUAGAGUGCGGUAGGCGCAGAGGGAAUUCCCGGUGUAGCGGUGAAAUGCGUAGAUAUCGGGAAGAACACCGGUGGCGAAAGCGCUCUGCUGGGCCGCAACUGACACUGAGGGACGAAAGCUAGGGGAGCGAAUGGGAUUAGAUACCCCAGUAGUCCUAGCCGUAAACGAUGGAAACUAGGUGUAGCCUGUAUCGACCCGGGCUGUGCCGAAGCUUACGCGUUAAGUUUCCCGCCUGGGGAGUACGCACGCAAGUGUGAAACUCAAAGGAAUUGACGGGGGCCCGCACAAGCGGUGGAGUAUGUGGUUUAAUUCGAUGCAACGCGAAGAACCUUACCAGGGCUUGACAUGUCCGGAAUCUUGGUGAAAGCGGAGAGUGCCUUCGGGAGCUGGAACACAGGUGGUGCAUGGCUG
rnacentral:rRNA from 1 species